rnacentral:rRNA from 1 species
CCCGCAGGCGGCUUGAUAAGUUCCAGGUGAAAUCUCCUGGCUUAACUGGGAGAGGUCCUGGAAAACUAUCAGGCUUGAGGCAGAGAGAGGGAUGUGGAAUUCCCGGUGUAGUGGUGAAAUGCGUAGAUAUCGGGAGGAACACCAGUGGCGAAGGCGGCAUCCUGGCUCUGUCCUGACGCUCAGGGGCGAAAGCGUGGGGAGCAAACCGGAUUAGAUACCCGGGUAGUCCACGCUGUAAACGAUGAGUACUAGGUGUAGGGGGUAUCGACCCCCUCUGUGCCGAAGCCAACGCGAUAAGUACUCCGCCUGGGGACUACGGCCGCAAGGCUAAA